rnacentral:sRNA from 1 species
AUAUAAACUGAAGUUUGCAACCGAGUCAAUGCACAUUUUCAAAGACAACAUUCAAAGUGAGUUUAUCACACGGGAGAAAUCGAGCUACAAAGACCAGAUAUAUUUAAAGAUGGCUCCAAUUAUUACUAUUCAAAUAUUAAUUCCGACUCCAAAAACCUGUUCCUGCAUCUAAUUGUGACCGUGACAUCUUCUUACAUACAAAACUUCAAGCUCUACACGGAUAGCGCCACCUAUUGUCAAAAUAAUUACAGAUUCAUAAAAUGAUCCAACAGCUAAUGGCGACUUCAGAAUUCUCUACGCGAAAGCUCAGUUUUGCUUCACAGAUGUCACCAAUAAUUGUCAUAAUUAUUCAGGACAAAAAAAUGUGAUAUUCUAAGUUAAUGAUGACUUCAAAUUUCCGCCACAUGUAUAUACCACAACCUGAAGAGAGAGAGUUGCCUCCCCAUGGAUGAUGUUCUGUUCAUUAAUCACCACAUAUUUAUUUUAUUUAUUGAUCAUUCAAUGCAAUACACAAUACACUUGAACAGCAGCA